UAAUGCCUAGGAAUCUGCCUGGUAGUGGGGGACAACGUUUCGAAAGGAACGCUAAUACCGCAUACGUCCUACGGGAGAAAGCAGGGGACCUUCGGGCCUUGCGCUAUCAGAUGAGCCUAGGUCGGAUUAGCUAGUUGGUGAGGUAAUGGCUCACCAAGGCGACGAUCCGUAACUGGUCUGAGAGGAUGAUCAGUCACACUGGAACUGAGACACGGUCCAGACUCCUACGGGAGGCAGCAGUGGGGAAUAUUGGACAAUGGGCGAAAGCCUGAUCCAGCCAUGCCGCGUGUGUGAAGAAGGUCUUCGGAUUGUAAAGCACUUUAAGUUGGGAGGAAGGGUUGUAGAUUAAUACUCUGCAAUUUUGACGUUACCGACAGAAUAAGCACCGGCUAACUCUGUGCCAGCAGCCGCGGUAAUACAGAGGGUGCAAGCGUUAAUCGGAAUUACUGGGCGUAAAGCGCGCGUAGGUGGUUUGUUAAGUUGGAUGUGAAAUCCCCGGGCUCAACCUGGGAACUGCAUCCAAGACUGGCAAGCUAGAGUAUGGUAGAGGGUGGUGGAAUUUCCUGUGUAGCGGUGAAAUGCGUAGAUAUAGGAAGGAACACCAGUGGCGAAGGCGACCACCUGG
rnacentral:rRNA from 1 species